CUCAUCCUAUGCAAGAUCAAUAACAGCCUCGAUCAAUCUGUCAUAGACCUAGCCCAAAUCUUCCCUUCCCUCUCGCAGCUCACAAUUGAUCACUGUGAUGAUUUGAUAAAGUUACCUCUUAGCAUUUGUAGGAUGCAUUCUCUGAAGAGUCUUAGUAUAACCAAUUGCCCCAAUCUAAAAGAAAUCCCUACUAAUUUGGGUAACCUGAGAUUUCUACAAAUUCUAAGGUUGUAUGCUUGCCCGACUCUGAAGAUGCUUCCGUCAAGCAUAUGUGAGCUGGUGUCAUUGAAGUACCUAGACAUUUCUCAAUGUAUUAAUU
rnacentral:misc_RNA from 1 species